GGUUCGAUGGCGUAGUUGGUUAUCGCAUCUGUCUAACAUGGCCUCCAGUAGUUGUUGCACAGAAGGUCCCCAGUUCGAGCCUGGGUCGAAUCA